CAGCAGCCGCGGGAACACGUAGGAGGCAAGCGUUGUCCGGAAUUAUUGGGCGUAAAGGGCUCGCAGGCGGUUUCUUAAGUCUGAUGUGAAAGCCCCCGGCUCAACCGGGGAGGGUCAUUGGAAACUGGGAAACUUGAGUGCAGAAGAGGAGAGUGGAAUUCCACGUGUAGCGGUGAAAUGCGUAGAGAUGUGGAGGAACACCAGUGGCGAAGGCGACUCUCUGGUCUGUAACUGACGCUGAGGAGCGAAAGCGUGGGGAGCGAACAGGAUUAGAUACCCCCGUAGUCCCUGUCUCUUAUAC
rnacentral:rRNA from 1 species